GAUGAACGCUGGCGGCGUGCCUAAUACAUGCAAGUCGAGCGAACAGACGAGGAGCUUGCCCCUCUGACGUUAGCGGCGGACGGGUGAGUAACACGUGGAUAACCUACCUAUAAGACUGGGAUAACUUCGGGAAACCGGAGCUAAUACCGGAUAAUAUAUUGAACCGCAUGGUUCAAUAGUGAAAGACGGUUUUGCUGUCACCUAUAGAUGGAUCCGCGCCGCAUUAGCUAGUUGGUAAGGUAACGGCUUACCAAGGCAACGAUGCGUAGCCGACCUGAGAGGGUGAUCGGCCACACUGGAACUGAGACACGGUCCAGACUCCUACGGGAGGCAGCAGUAGGGAAUCUUCCGCAAUGGGCGAAAGCCUGACGGAGCAACGCCGCGUGAGUGAUGAAGGUCUUCGGAUCGUAAAACUCUGUUAUUAGGGAAGAACAAAUGUGUAAGUAACUAUGCACGUCUUGACGGUACCUAAUCAGAAAGACACGGCUAACUACGUG
rnacentral:rRNA from 1 species